AUUUAUAUUUUAAAUUCAUAAUUGAUCGAGUCUAGGUAAAAAUUUUUAGAUUUUUUCAGUAACACGGGAGACGUUAAUGGAGCAAGUUUGCACAUACUAAAAUACUUAAAGUUAGUGAUCAAAGAAAGCCAUGAGAUAAGAUUAUAUCCUCCUCUUGCAUUGAUUUCAAGUGUGUACCGAGAGAGCUGAACUUAACGGGUAUGAUUUUUAUCCUAAGCCUAGACUACUUAUCAACACAUCGGAGAUUAGAAGAGGUCCUGCUAAUUCAUGGAUUGAUCCUCAAAGAUUUCUUCAUCUGUACUACUUUUGAACUUGUUCCAUUUGGUGGUGGAAAGAGAAUGUGUUCUGGUAAAAUCAUGGCGGUCAGUAAACUAAUUACAAAUUCUUGUGAUGGGCUGAGGACGGAAUGGAAUAGGAAUCAACUUAAGAUCUACUCCUCUUUUGAUUGCACCACCAAAACCUUCACUCAUGUCGAGAUUUUCUGGGGUUAUUCCAUCAGGAAGUUUCCAGUCAAAAUGAUACAGCAGUUGUGCAAGGACAAGCUCUAAAUU
rnacentral:misc_RNA from 1 species